GGGCGGUGUGUCUAAGGUAUGCAAGUCGAACGAGAUCGCUUUCUUCGGAAAGCAUUAUAUCUAGUGGCAGACGGCUGAGUAACGCGUAAGUAACUUACCCUAGAGUGGGGAAUAACACAGAGAAAUCUGUGCUAAUACCGCAUACGAUUUAUUGAUAAUUUCUAUAAAUGAAAGAUUUAUCGCUCUUGGAUGGGCUUGCGUCCUAUCAGGUAGUUGGCGGGGUAAUGGCCCACCAAGCCUAAGACGGGUAGCUGGUGUGAGAGCACGACCAGCCAGAGGGGGACUGAGACACGGCCCCCACUCCUACGGGAGGCAGCAGCUAAGAAUAUUGCACAAUGGACGAAAGUCUGAUGCAGCGACACCGCGUGAGGGAUGAAGGUUUUAGGAUUGUAAACCUCUUUUAUUAGGGAAUAGCAAGGAAGGUACCUAAUGAAUAAGCUACGGCUAACUACGUGCCAGCAGCCGCGGUAAUACGUAGGUAGCGAACGUUGUCCGGAAUCACUGGGCGUAAAGGGUCCGUAGGCGGUUUGAUAAGUCUCAUAUGAAAACUUCAAGCUCAACUUGGAGAGGUUGUGAGAUACUGUCAAACUAGAGACUGUUAGAGGUAAGUGGAAUUCCAGGUGUAGUGGUGAAAUGCGUAGAUAUCUGGAGGAACACCAGUGGCGAAAGCGACUUACUGGG
rnacentral:rRNA from 1 species